GUACUUAACUAAGAUCUCUGUUUAUGACAAGAGUGAGAAGGCGGUGUUUGUCCUUCUUUGUGAUGCUGGUCGUGAAUUGACUGGCAAGCAUGCUUCAGAGUUAGUUGCAAGAUACUUUGAGUUUAACGAGGAUGUGGGAGCUGAUCACACUGUCCCGGUUCCACAAACUCUCAUGGAUACCAUUGGUCAGACACGCAAGUUUGUUGUCCAAGUCUCUCAGCAUAACCUCACUGGCAAGACUCAAACCAUCACUGUCACAAAGGUACUCCCAGAACCAGCUCCACAAAACGCCAUUGAAGAUCCAGCAGAUGAGAGGAUUAGAAAGGCUUCUGACAGUCUUGAAUCACAGGAAGCUAAGCGUGCUAAGAGUGAAUAAUAUAUCUUAAGUCAUUGCCUGCUUCAUAGUUUUCAUUUCAGACUUUGCUUUCUUUAAAAUUUAUGUUUCAGACUAUACUCCUUAUUACGGUAGAUUCUCCAUUUUUGAUGUUUGGAUGCAAUCAAAUAUGGUUUUGAGAUUUUCGUUUGGGUGCAAAUGAGUUUUUUUUUAACUAUGAUCUAAAAUUCUUAUAUUACUCUUUGAUCAAUAUAAAAAUUCUUUUUUAGGUUCAAUAAAUGUGAUAAACUCAUGUGGAACACAAAUUUUUAGUCUUGGUAUUUUAGAAAACUAAAAAAAUAUUUUUGUUACAUAAAAAAAUGGAAAAAAAAAUUAUAUAUAACAUUCAACCAACAAAAAUAUGGUAUAUUCACAUUAAACCGAAAGUUUUCUUUAAAAUUAAAUAGCAAGCGGUUUAUAAAUAAAUAACCCGGGAGUAGUCCGGGAAAAAAACCUAGUAUAUAUAUAUAUCAAUACAAUACUAAAAGGGGAUAUAAACCAUGGAGAAAGUGUCCACGUCGACAGAAAAAAUCGACCAAUAGGAGAACAGUUCUCUGCCUCGUCAGAUACGCUUCGACAAACCCUUAUUUUCCCAAAAUCGAAUCUCGGACCUUUCUCUUCGUCUUCUCCGUCGUCUUCGUUUCAUGCGUUUACAAUUGAUCGUAACCCACAGGCCAUUUGCUUUUGGAAUCUAUGUUUGGAGGCGUAUUUUCUGUGCCUGUGAAUAAUCCUCACUUGCGCAAAUCUGGAAGUAUAAUCAUGAGACGAAGGCUUGCACUGCGACUUCGCGUGCCUGAUCUAUACCCUCCUGAGGAUGAAGCUCACGGAGGAGCGCGUGAAGUCGAUUGUCUGCGACGCGGUCGAGAUCGAGAGGGAGUUUGUGUGCGACGCGCUUCCGUGUGCGUUGGUGUGGAUGACCCGUGAGCUGAUGAGUCAGUAUAUCGAGUCCGUGGUGGAUAGGCUUUUGGGUGCGCUUGGGUACGGGAAGGUGUACGGUGUGGCGAAUCCGUUUGAUUGGAUGGAGUUGAUUUCGCUUCAGGGGAAAACGAACUUCUUCGAGAAGAGAGUUAGUGACUACCAGAAAGCUUCUGUUAUGUCUAGCUUCCGUUUGAUAAUCAUUGAAACUCAUGGCUAGGUACUAUUGCCAAAUUGUGAAGCCCUUUUAGUCCUUAGCAGCCUCAAGGUUGCUCUGUAUGUUGGUGGUCUUUAUAUUUGUGGAAAGGUUGGAGAUUUUGAUUUAGCUUUUGAUUUGCCUCUAUAGUUUUGAAUUCUUUUCAUUAUAUGAACAUGUUUAAAAAACUUGCAGGUUGGAUGGGAAUCUGUAAUGAAAAUGGGACAAGACACACGAGAACUGUUCUUCUAUGAAACAUUUCUAUAUUACAACCCUCUCCUCAUUGUAAGUCUUUGUCGAAAUCAGAAACUCAAACCCUUAACGUGUGUUUCAUUCCUCUAAUAUAUAUUCAAUUACUUUCAGACAAUGAUGGUUUGGCUCUGGGGUGUUAAUCUAUGGGUGUUUUCUCGAACUGGAGUCGAUUACGCAGCAAUAUUUUAUCUAGGACCAGAUCAUCAUAGUCACAAAGAGAUAUGGAAGGUAUUACAAUUCCUUAGUUACCUACCAUCUUUAUCCAAUGAUUUUCUAAAAAAUCUGAGGGUGUAACAGUGUGCUAGGUGGAUGACGACGAUAAUAUUAACUAGCAUGACUGCGUAUCUGUAUCUAUACUCCCAUGGAGAUGUGUCCUUGGCUGCUUCUCAACCAGUGUAAUAUAUGUAUCUUCUCUUAUUUUUAGAGAUAUUUUUUAUUCAUUUUGUUUCAUAGAGUUUUGACAUUUUUUUUCUGAUGUUUUCCAGAUUGUUUUGUAUCUCUCUGUUGUGAUCAUUCCCAUCACCCCUUUCGAUAUCUUCUACAAGGUAGGUUGAUCUCGACGAAAAAACAUUUCGAUCCAAGUGAUUGCUCCUGCAGCAGAAAACGUUGAGGUACCAACCAAGACAGUGGAGAAAACCGUUGUGGUUACCGAACAGGCGGAAGGGGGAUAGGCCGCGACAGAGUAUGCUCCAGCUCCAGUCGCCGUAACUGAACAAUCCGAAGCACCAGUCGAAGGAACGAGCAAGGAAGUGGUUGUGGAAGAGGCAGAGAAAAAAGAUGAAGAAACUGAGAAGAAACCAGAGGAGCCAAAGGUAGAGGAGGAAGAAGACAAGACAGAAACUCCGGUCGUUGUGGAGGAGG